UCGGGCUGAUCUUACUUUUUCUGUAAAAAUAGAAUUCACAGUAUUAGUAAGUCUAUCAACUUUAUCUUCUAAGGUUAAAUUACUUAGCUGGUGAACCCUUCUAGUGGGCUCACGAUUGGCUCGAAAUUGUUGAGUAUUUGUAGCCAUCGUGGAUAUCAAGUCCCUUUCUUAUUGAAGAGUCAUGUUGACCAAAACUCCUCCACUGGC
rnacentral:lncRNA from 1 species